rnacentral:rRNA from 1 species
CGUCAGCUCGUGUCGUGAGAUGUUGGGUUAAGUCCCGCAACGAGCGCAACCCUUGAUCUUAGUUGCCAUCAUUAAGUUGGGCACUCUAAGGUGACUGCCGGUGACAAACCGGAGGAAGGUGGGGAUGACGUCAAAUCAUCAUGCCCCUUAUGACCUGGGCUACACACGUGCUACAAUGGACGGUACAAAGAGCUGCAAGACCGCGAGGUGGAGCUAAUCUCAUAAAACCGUUCUCAGUUCGGAUUGUAGGCUGCAACUCGCCUACAUGAAGCUGGAAUCGCUAGUAAUCGCGGAUCAGCAUGCCGCGGUGAAUACGUUCCCGGGCCUUGUACACACCGCCCGUCACACCACGAGAGUUUGUAACACCCGAAGUCGGUGGGGUAACCUUUUGGAGCCAGCCGCCUAAGGUGGGACAGAUGAUUGGGGUGAAGUCGUAACAAGGUAGCCGUAUCGGAAGGUGCGGCUGGAUCACCUCCUUUCUAUGGA